rnacentral:tRNA from 20 species
GGAGGGAUGGCCGAGCGGCUUAAGGCAGCGGUCUUGAAAACCGCCGAUGGGAAACCAUCCGAGAGUUCGAAUCUCUCUUCCUCCGCCA